rnacentral:lncRNA from 1 species
CUGAAAAGAUGUCUUUAAAGGACGCAUUGUUGCUCUGGUCUGAUACUGUCAAAUCAGGGUGGUGAUUCCAGAAAAGGUCUAUCUGUUUCCUGGAGAUCCAGGGGAUUCAGUGCAAGGCCUGGAGCUCAUUGUAAUGUCCUGUGUGAGGCCAUAUCAGCAGGUUGAAGGGUCUGCAAUGGAAGGCUGAAGAGUCUGCGCUGGAAGCCAGGAGACAAAAUCCAAGGUGAAGGAAAAGCCUGGAGCUCGU